AGGAGGUGUCCGCCAGCAUCUGGUCUUUUCUCCCUCUCUCUCUCAUUCGCACCGCCACCCAAUCUCUCCCUCGCGCCCUCCCAGAUCUGCACCCCGGCACUCGGUGGCUCCUCUUGCUGCCUCUCGCCAGUAUCUCCUGCCGAUCCCGGCCUAAUCACCACCGCGGAGUCGACUGCGGUGAACACGCUGCGCCAUCUGUGGUGGCAGCACCGCGCCGCCCAUGCAGAUCGGCCGGGUUUGCGAUGACCUGGUGACCUCGCAUCUCGGUGGUUACGUCGCCUCAUGCCGAUUUGAUGCCUACCGGGCCUACCGCCGGGCUUGCUCUCCGACCGGUCCCUAGGCGAGCAUCCCUCUGAUUCCUCUGGUUGCGUACGAUGGGUGCCCAGGCGCGCAUCUCUGUUCUUCUACUCUGACAGCCGGCUGUCCAGAAGUUAAAUGUGAGCAUGGUAGGGAGCCAAGGUAUCUCACCCCUCCCUCCCCAGAUUUGUUGAUUAGUGUAUAGGAAUAUUUAGGAUGAACUCGUAUUGAAAUCUGUGAGCUAUAGGUUAUAGCUUAGUGAGACAUAUAGGGAAUAGUUGAUGAGAAACAACAUGAGGUGAGACUUCUGUUUCUGAACAUUUAAUUUAGUAUAAGAGCUUCACGAUCAAUAGGUACAAUGUCUCUGCAGGCGCAUCUGGUUUUAAUCCAUCUAUAGACGUCAAUUUUUAGGUGAGCACACAUAUGUUUAUGAUGAUACUUAAUAUCCCAAGGUUGUAUUUUGGGGAACAAUUUGCUGUCCCGGACAUUGUUGUUUAAUUUGUAAUCAUGUGGAGCACAUUUGAUUUUGUACAAAAUACAGCUCGUGGGAUUCUGAAAGUAAUAUUCGAUGAACCAACGUGAGCACUAUAUAGCUGUGUUACUGUUUCUAGAUACGAUCACCUCAGCUGUAGGUUUAACGCACUCGUAGAUAGCUAAGCUGAAGUAACUAGCUCAAUAUGCACAUAUAGCUAGCAAACUGACUAGCUAUCUAAUAUGCAUGCUCUGUACAUCUAACAUGUUCGGUUAGCUACUAAUUGGUUCCAACCGAUUUAUUUCAUUUUGUAUGCCAUCAAUACUACCUUAUACUAGAGAAAUAGCAAAACAAGUGAUAAUUCAAUCCUUGCCCACCCCAGUCUUACAUAGCUGAUAGGUUCAGAGUGUUAACAAUCUUAAGUUCUUAACAGAAAGAGAAGGUGAUAACUGUGUUAGUUUUGCCGGAUUGCCCGAACGUUGUUUUCUAUAUAACUACCACACUAUCUUGCAAUUCUUUUAGGGAAUUGUAGUUUGAUGUAUAAAUACAGAAAUGUUGUUUGCUAUAUAACUAGAAUAUCAUCUUCAAGUCUUCUAGAGAAUUGUAGUUUGCUAUAUAAAUACAUCAUAGUCUUGCAAGCGGUCAAUUUAACGUCAUUAUGUGGCUAUAAUGUCAGGGGCUAAGGUGUGGGAUCGUUUUCCCCAAAAAAGUCUAUUCACUUCACAUGGCUGUGAACUGUAGAUUUCUUGUAUUAUUGAAUUAUUUUGACACAUCAAUGCCAUGUCUUUCUUCACUUGUUUCGAACAGGCUCAAAAUAAUAUUUUUCAGAUGGUCAAGACAGUUGGGGCUUCUGAUGGGCUGAGAGGAACAUGUUCUUACGGAUGGCCAUGGUCUGCUGUUGAUGGACACACUAACCUGUAAUUUAGUAUCUUGCUCAAGGUCUUGAUGAGUGGUGUAGAUACUUUGCAUGACCAACACAAGGUGUUGACAUCCAUUUUAAUCAGAGAUGUAGAUAGUUGGCCUGACUAAUAGUAGCAAAUAAUUGUCCAGAUCAAUAGCGCAUGUACAUGUUGAUUUAUUUGUUCUUUUAGCUAUAGUUUACUUCUUAAAUGGUUAGCUCUAAAUUGACCAUGAGUCUGAUGUAUGUGUAAUUAAAUGAGAAUCUGAUGUGUACAUUGCA